UAGCAAGAUUGUGCAUCCAGCCAUUGACAUAUUCAUCUUUCUGAUUUGUGAUUACUCUCUUGAUCGUGGAUCCUUUGCUUUGUUACUUUUGCAGGACUGACAGUGCUAUUAAGUUUGGAUGGUUUUUCAUGUUUUACCUGCUUCACAUUGGAUUCUGUAUCUUAGCUGCAGUUGCUCCUCCUAUAGUUUUCAAAGGAAAAUCCUUGACAGGCAUUCUGUCAGCCAUAGAUGUAGUUGGUGACUAUACUUUGGUUGGGGUAAGUA